UUUAAAUUGCUGUGGUAUUUUAACUAUACAAAGGUAUUGUAAUAAGGUUUUAAUUGGAUGCUAAAAGAAUGGAAUUUUAAAAAAGAUCUUUCUUAAAAAUAAAAAUUGAAUUUUUUUUAAUUUGUGCAGAAACAAUUAUUUAUAUUAAGGACAAGAAGACCCUAAGAAUUUAUAAUUAAAUAAAUUAAAAUUUUAAUUUAUUUAAUUUUGAUUGGGGUGAUCGAAAAAUAUUAAUAACUUUUUUGAAUUUAAAUGAUCUAUUAUUAAUAAAUGAAUGAAAUAAAUACUCUAGGGAUAACAGCGUAAUAAUUUUUGAUAGAUCUUAUAGACAAAAUAGUUUGCGACCUCGAUGUUGGAUUAGGAUACUUUUUUAAUGAAGAAGUUAAAAAAAGAAGUUUGUUCAACUUUUAAAUUCCUACAUGAUCUGAGUUUCAGACCGGA
rnacentral:rRNA from 1 species